AAGCAUAUCAGAGGGAUACUUUCUGAUUCAUUAUUUGUAUCUUUCCCAAGCUUCAUAGAGGGAUUCACCUUCCUUUUGUCUAAAGGUUUGGACUUCCACUCUAAGCUU